UUUGCUCUGACCUCGGAUCAGGUA
rnacentral:rRNA from 1 species